rnacentral:rRNA from 1 species
GACCUCAAAUCAGGUAGGACUACCCGCUGAACUUAAGCAUAUCAAUAAGCGGAGGAAAAGAAACUAACAAGGAUUCCCCUAGUAACUGCGAGUGAAGCGGGAAAAGCUCAAAUUUAAAAUCUGGCAGAUGUUUGUCUGUCCGAGUUGUAACCUAGAGAAGUGUAACCUGUGCUGGACCGUGUACAAGUCUCUUGGACAUAGAGCAUCAUAGAGGGUGGGAAUCCCGUCUUUGACAUGGACUACCAGUGCAUUGUGGUUGCGCACUCAACGAGUCGAGUUGUUUGGGAAUGCAGCUCUAAAUGGGUGGUAAAUUCCAUCUAAAGCUAAAUAUUGGCGAGAGACCGAUAGCGAACAAGUACCGUGAGGGAAAGAUGAAAAGAACUUUGGAAAGAGAGUUAAACAGUAUGUGAAAUUGUUGAAAGGGAAACGCUUGAAGUCAGCUGCAUUGGCUGGGAAUCAAGCCAGCUUAUUUGCUGGGUGUACUUCCUGGUUGAUGGGCCAACAUCAGUUUUGACCAUCAGAGAAAGGCUAAGGGAAUGUGGCACCUU